UCUCGUACAUCAGAUAACGAAAUCUAUAAAUGGCAAUGAUAAUUUUUGUUAGUACGUUUUCAACCGUGAUCGGUCCCUGCUGGCGUCGUAGAUACCAACAGAUCUACUUUCGCACUUUUGAUCUUUUUUCUGUCCAUGAAGUUGCAGUAUGCUACGCUUUUCGUAGGAAGAUCAAACGCUUCUCAGGUAUCUUCAACUAGCAAAGAGAUAAUGACUAAUAAAUAGUGUUGCUGCGUAGUGCUUAAAUGCCAGUUUUAGGAUCAGCUUUAUUACUCGUCAUUUCGUUUGGGGUACCCUCCUUUUUCAAGAUGAUCCGAGUUCCGUAGCUGACACAUAGUGCUGUCUUCAAAGUAAACGGCCAACACAAAAGGUUUCAGUGAACGGUGAUUGAUGCAGCAUUUCCUUUCUGGUACCUGUCUGAUGUGCUCUAUACGAGAUCUCAUAUCACUUGUUCGGAUAAGCUGGUACGAAAAAUGAAGAUAGUUUUUACAGGAAUCAUAAUUGUUCAGUACUAAAUACACACGGCAUCGUUGAUUAGACUGCGUCUGCGUCUGCGUCUGCGUAUUAUGAAGAAUGGUAUUUAAGAUGAUUCCAGCCAUUUGUGGUUUCUGUUGGGUCAGGCCUUGAAUCACAGAAGAAGAUUAUCAACUAACCCUCAUCAGCUCCUAGCAGUAGUGACCUAGAAAAUAGCGGAAUGAUCUCUUCAACUUCACCAAAACUCAA